rnacentral:rRNA from 1 species
CCUACGGGAGGCAGCAGUGAGGAAUAUUGGUCAAUGGGCGCGAGCCUGAACCAGCCAAGUCGCGUGAGGGAGGACGGCCCUACGGGUUGUAAACCUCUUUUGUCGGGGAGCAAAGCGAGUCACGUGUGACUCAUUGAGAGUACCCGAAGAAAAAGCAUCGGCUAACUCCGUGCCAGCAGCCGCGGUAAUACGGAGGAUGCGAGCGUUAUCCGGAUUUAUUGGGUUUAAAGGGUGCGCAGGCGGAGGUGUAAGUCAGCGGUCAAAUUGCGGGGCUCAACCCCGUACUGCCGUUGAAACUGGAUCACUUGAGUGCGCGAGAAGUAAGCGGAAUGCGUGGUGUAGCGGUGAAAUGCAUAGAUAUCACGCAGAACUCCGAUUGCGAAGGCAGCAUACCGGCGCUCAACUGACGCUCAUGCACGAAAGCGUGGGUAUCGAACAGGAUUAGAUACCCCAGUAGUC